rfam:Equus caballus chromosome 22, whole genome shotgun sequence.
CUUCCACUUUCGCAGGGCUCGGCAUCCCUGGGGCAUCAACUCCUUAUCCAUCUGAGGCUGCUGCUCUGCAUUGGGGCAGUAAGCCCUCUCCCUCCUCGGGAUCAUGGUCCUUUGCCCCAGGCCCU